UACGGAGGGUGCAAGCAUUAAUCGGAUUUACUGGGCGUAAAGGGCGCGUAGGCGGUUUUGAAAGUCAGAUGUGAAAUUUCGGUGCUCAACGCCGAAGCUGCAUUUGAAACUCCAAGACUUGAGUAUAGACGGAGAAAACAGAAUUCCAUGUGUAGCGGUGAAAUGUGUAGAUAUAUGGAAGAAUACCAGUGGCGAAAGCGGUUUUCUAGUUUAUUACUGACGCUGAGGCGCGAGAGUGGGGGGAGCAAACAGG
rnacentral:rRNA from 1 species